ACCCUUCAAUUUGUAGAUCAAUUAUUUUAAUUGUACACAUGUUGUUCUUUUCAAAACAGAGGACAUGUUGUUUCUUCCAUUAUCAUAUAGUCAUAACAUUAUAAAUUGGAUAAAUUGUGAUAUGAUUUAAUGUAUACUCACAGUAGUGGUUACAAAAAAACAGUAAUAGACCGAAAUUGAAAGAUAUUACUUAUAUUCAUAAUCAUGGUGAAUAUUAUAAUUUAAAGACUGAUUGACAUUGACAACAUUUAUGAACCUAGGUAACAUUUCUAUGGUAGUAGUCAAACAUUCAAUUUACAGUGAUAAACAUUUACCUUAAUGUCAAUAUGGCUAUGUACAAUUAAUAAUGGUACAAAUUAUCAUUUGAGUGUUGGAUGCAUUAAAAUGAGAUCCUGAAAUCGAAAGGUUAUAACGAGCCUAAUGAAAUAUACUGGCUCGAUAUAACCCUUCAAUUCUAACAUCUUUCAUUCUAUAAUGUUCAAAUAUCAUAGUCCUAAAUACAACAAAGGGUUCGAUUAUAAAAAUUCCUAACACUAUAUCUAAA